UACGUAGGUGGCAAGCGUUGUCCGGAUUUAUUGGGUUUAAAGGGUGCGUAGGCGGCUUAUUAAGUCAGUGGUGAAAUACUCUAGCUCAACUAGAGGGGUGCCAUUGAUACUGAUGAGCUUGAGUACAGAUGAGGUAGGCGGAAUUGACGGUGUAGCGGUGAAAUGCUUAGAUAUCGUCAAGAACACCUAUAGCGAAGGCAGCUUACUAGGCUGUAACUGACGCUGAGGAGCGAAAGCAUGGGGAGCGAACAGG
rnacentral:rRNA from 1 species